GACGAACGCUGGCGGCGUGCUUAACACAUGCAAGUCGAACGGUAAGGCUCCAGCUUGCUGGGGUACACGAGUGGCGAACGGGUGAGUAACACGUGGGUGACCUGCCCUGCACUUCGGGAUAAGCCUGGGAAACUGGGUCUAAUACCGGAUAGGACCAUGGUGUGGAUACUGUGGUGGAAAGUUUUUUCGGUGUGGGAUGGGCCCGCGGCCUAUCAGCUUGUUGGUGGGGUAAUGGCCUACCAAGGCGGCGACGGGUAGCCGGCCUGAGAGGGUGGACGGCCACAUUGGGACUGAGACACGGCCCAGACUCCUACGGGAGGCAGCAGUGGGGAAUAUUGCACAAUGGGCGGUAGCCUGAUGCAGCGACGCCGCGUGGGGGAUGACGGCCUUCGGGUUGUAAACUCCUUUCACCAUCGACGAAGGGUUUCUGACGGUAGAUGGAGAAGAAGCACCGGCUAACUACGUG
rnacentral:rRNA from 1 species